CGUUUUUUGGAAUGGAGGGUGAGGGUGAAGGAAGGGGAAUUAAAAGAACGUCAAUUCUUUCUAUGUGGAUUUACAUAUAUAUUCGUUGAAGUUGAAUUUUUAGUAUGCCAAUAGGUUCAAACAUUCACUCACUUUUGUAACCUUGUAUGAUAUUAAAUUGUAUUUCGUUUCUAUUGGCUAGAUAAUCGAUGACAGAUCCCGAUUGGAUAUCCUGCAUAGCAAUGGUAACAUGAAAUUAGUAUAACACUUUCGCUUCAGCUAUAUAAAUACAUGCACGAUGAAUUUUCUAAAAAAGAAAAAAAAGUAUGUUUAUAAUCGUUUUUGAUAUUUCGCAGGGCACUGGUAGAUAAGAUAAGAAAAUAAAGGAAAUAGAGAAGAAGAAGAAGAAGAAGAAGAAGAAGCAGAAGAGGAAGAGAUGAAAAAAACAAGGAGCAUUUAAAAAACAUAGAAUGCAUUAAAACGAAAGCGAUUCCGUGACUCCAAGGAGACUCGUGCAACAAGAUUUCUUAGUCACGAGCAAAGCUCUUAUGUAACACUUUGCUUUGUCCGCUUUUUCAAUAGUAUCACGUGUCCCAAUUUUUUAAAUGAUUUUAUUACGAUUUUGUUCAUAAUCGAAAUAAUAAGAUCCAUAAAAUUGUUCGUAAUUUUAUAACGGGAAUAUAUCGUUUAAUGAAAUUUUCGAUAAAUGAUCUUCAACAGAAACACAAAAUUGAUAAAUCGUUUACAAUAGUAAAUGCAAACGAAAAAAGAAAAAGCAAAUAACAAACCAACAUUCGUGGUAUAUGGUUUCAGAGUUUAAACGUUGGGUCAAACAAUUGGAAACUUCUGCUACCGUUCGUAAAUAAUAAAACGAAACACAACCUGGAGAUACAGAAACUCGAAACAAAUAUUAUUCUCCUGUUACGUGACUUAUUGAAUUCACUCCUUUGCAGUGAAUUGCCUUGUCUAAUGGAUAGGUUGGUAGGUAGAUAGACCUCCUUGCGAGGAAACUUUCUCCGAUAGGGAUACACAACUCGUGAUCGGUCACUCGGCCAUUGUCGUUUGACGACAAAGACGAUUCUGUACCAGAAGUUCAAUAUAAAAACCAAUCAAUCACGUA
rnacentral:lncRNA from 1 species